AGUAAUGUCUGGGAAACUGCCUGAUGGAGGGGGGUAACUGCUGGAAACAGUAGCUAAUACCGCAUAACGUCGCAAGACCAAAGAGGGGGACCUUCGGGCCUCUUGACAUCGGAUGUGCCCAGAUGGGAUUAGCUAGUAGGUGGGGUAACGGCUCACCUAGGCGACGAUCCCUAGCUGGUCUGAGAGGAUGACCAGCCACACUGGAACUGAGACACGGUCCAG
rnacentral:rRNA from 1 species